ensembl:snoRNA small nucleolar RNA, C/D box 66
UUCCGGUGAUGACCUCCAUUCUGUGCCAUGUGUCUGGGCCGCUGACUUGUGGAG